rnacentral:rRNA from 1 species
GACGAACGCUGGCGGCGUGCUUAACACAUGCAAGUCGAACGAAGUGGCGAACGGGUGAGUACGCGUAAUCAACCUGCCCUUCAGAGGGGGACAACAGUUGGAAACGACUGCUAAUACCGCAUACUGAAGGAGGGGAUUGCGUCUGUGUAGCGAGUUGGAGGGGUAACGGCCCACCAAGGCGAUGAUCAGUAGGCUGGCUGAGAGGAGGGACAGCCACAUUUGGACUGAGACACGGCCCAGACUCCUACGGGAGGCAGCAGUGGGGAAUCUUCCGCAAUGGACGAAAGUCUGACGGAGCAACGCCGCGUGAGUGAUGACGGCCUUCGGGUUGUAAAGCUCUGUUAAUCGGGACGCGGUACCGGAAUAGAAAGCCACGGCUAACUACGUGCCAGCCGCCGCGGUAAUUC